GAUGAAGAACGUAGUGAAAUGCGAUACGUAAUGUGAAUUGCAGAAUUCAGUGAAUCAUCGAAUCUUUGAACGCAUAUUGCGCUCUCUGGUAUUCCGGAGAGCAUGCUUGUUUGAGUAUCAGUAAACACCUCAACUUCCAUAUCUUUUUUGAAAUGGGAGUUGGACUUGAGUGAUCCCAACGCUUUUCCUCACCGAAAAGUGGCGGGUUACUUGAAAUGCAGGUGCAGCUGGACUUUUCUCUGAGCUAAAAGCAUAUCUAUUUAGUCUGCCUAAAAAACAGAUUAUUACCUUUGCUGCAGCUAACAUAAAGGAGAUUAGUUCUUGUGCUGACUGAUGCAGGAUUCACAAAGACGGCUUCGGCCGACUUUGUAAACUCGAUCUCAAAUCAAGUAAGACUACCCGCUGAACUUAAGCAUAUCAAUAAGCGGAGGA
rnacentral:misc_RNA from 1 species